CAUGUACGUAUCGAUACGAAAAACAACGUUCCCGCACAAUAGCAAGUUAUCGUGGGAUAUCACACCUCUGGAUUUUUUUCUUUGGGGUGUUUACCAGAGAGCAGCUUUGAGUAUGAUCGAGCCUUUUUGAUCACCCUCACUAAAAAUCGAGCACAAGCGAACGCCACACUCGGCUACUAUGUGUUCGAUCGAGAUGCACACCCAACAGCUGCUUUGAGUACGAACGAGUCUGUUCGAUCACCCUCGCUAUAAAUUGAGCACAAACGAACACCACACUCGGACACCCGCAACUAACCCGAAAAUUUGUGUAACAAUGAAGCGGACACCCGAACAUUGCGAUAAAAUGCAGAACAACAAUGAAAUUUACGCUGAAGAUAACUGGGGCCAAUAUGUUCCAACAAAGCAUACGAAAAUGUUGUUGCUUUGUGCUUGUGCAUACGCAAUGAAAAAAAUUAGAAGCGAAGUAGACAAAAAUGUUUGUGCAUCUGCCCCGUAGCGAAUGUCAUGCAUUAGUCACCUAAGAGUCUUGUACGGAAAAGUUACGUCUUAAAUGACGUUGGACUCCGUUUGUAUGGAAGUCGUUCAUGACUUUUUCAUAUAAAUGGUAAUUUCGUCGUUGAUGUCACCUGCAUGACUUGGUUAUGCAGUGAUCAUUAAUGACAUUCAAGCGACAGCAUCUUGCAAUGGAAUUUUUAUAAGUGACCGCUGCAAGACAUUGUCUCUUAUAAGUCUUUGAUAGGAGUACACCUG